rnacentral:rRNA from 1 species
GAACUUUCCAGAGAUGGAUUGGUGCCUUCGGGAACUUAGAUACAGGUGCUGCAUGGCUGUCGUCAGCUCGUGUCGUGAGAUGUUGGGUUAAGUCCCGNAACGAGCGCAACCCUUUUCCUUAUUUGCCAGCGGGUCAUGCCGGGAACUUUAAGGAUACUGCCAGUGACAAACUGGAGGAAGGCGGGGACGACGUCAAGUCAUCAUGGCCCUUACGGCCAGGGCUACACACGUGCUACAAUGGUCGGUACAAAGGGUUGCUACCUCGCGAGAGGAUGCUAAUCUCAAAAAGCCGAUCGUAGUCCGGAUCGCAGUCUGCAACUCGACUGCGUGAAGUCGGAAUCGCUAGUAAUCGCGGAUCAGAAUGCCGCGGUGAAUACGUUCCCGGGCCUUGUACACACCGCCCGUCACACCAUGGGAGUUUGUUGCACCAGAAGUAGGUAGUCUAACCGCAAGGAGGACGCUUACCACGGUGUGGCCGAUGACUGGGGUGAAGUCGUAACAAGGUAGGCGUAGAUGA